rnacentral:tRNA from 1 species
GGAGAGUUGGCUGAGUGGUCGAAGGCGCACGACUGGAAAUCGUGUUCAGGCUGAAACCUGACUAGGGUUCAAAUCCCUAACUCUCCGCCA